UACAGAGGGGGCUAGCGUUAUUCGGAAUUAUUGGGCGUAAAGGGCGCGUAGGCGGCCAUGCGUGUCUUCCGUGAAAUCCCUCGGCUUAACUGAGGACGUGCGGAAGAAACUGCAAGGCUCGAGUCCGGGAGAGGUGAGUGGAACUCCUAGUGUAGAGGUGAAAUUCGUAGAUAUUAGGAAGAACACCAGUGGCGAAGGCGGCUCACUGGCCCGGUACUGACGCUGAUAAUGCGGAAAGCGUGGG
rnacentral:rRNA from 1 species